rnacentral:rRNA from 1 species
GAUGAACGCUGGCGGCGUGCUUAACACAUGCAAGUCGAACGGGAUCCAAGUGGUGCUUUCACUUUUUGGUGAGAGUGGCGAACGGGUGAGAAACACGUAACGAACCUUUCCUUUUCUUUGGGAUUAACAUACGAAAGGGUGUUUAAUAACUUAUGUUCUGUCUGCCUUGCAUGGGGUGGGUGGUAAAGGCUUUGGCGGGUGUUGGGUGGGCUCGCGGUCUAUCUGCUUGUUGGUGGGGUGAUGGCUGACCGAGGCUUUGACGGGUAGACGGCCGGGGAGGGCGGUCGAUCAUAUUCGGACUGAAGUCCGGUCCAGAAUGCUGCGGGAGGCAGCAGUGGGCAAUAGUGCACAAUGGGCGAAAGCCUGAUGCAGCGAGGCAGCGUGGCGGAUGGAGGGCUACGGCUUGUAAACUUCUUUUGAUCGGAACAAGGCAUGCCAGUGCGUGUGUUACGUGUAGGGGUUGAUAAGCGCCGGCUAACUACGUG